GAGCAAUUCCCAAAGUUGUAUAUUGAUAAACACCUCAUGAUGAUUGUAUUUGAGUUAUUGUAAUCUCUUUUUUCCAGGCUAGGCAUAAUCCAUCACUUUUCACCUUUGGUUGGUCUACUUUCAGUUUUAUUAAAUCUCAGUUUCGGACAUAUUAUUUUCAUCUUUACUUCAUCCAAUUUAGUUUCUGAUAAAAAAAUAAGACUAGGGUCAAACUACUUGACCAAUGCCUUUUAGUUUCUAACUAGAGAGGUAUGGGUACCCACCUGCAGUUAGCUAUUAGUAGCUU
rnacentral:lncRNA from 1 species